GACGAACGCUGGCGGCGUGCUUAACACAUGCAAGUCGAGCGGUAAGGCCCUUUCGGGGGUACACGAGCGGCGAACGGGUGAGUAACACGUGGGUGACCUGCCCUCAGCUCUGGGAUAAGCCUGGGAAACUGGGUCUAAUACUGGAUAUGACUCCACGGUGCAUGUCGUGGGGUGGAAAGCCUUGUGCGGCUGAGGAUGGGCCCGCGGCCUAUCAGCUUGUUGGUGGGGUGANGGCCUACCAAGGCGACGACGGGUAGCCGGCCUGAGAGGGCGACCGGCCACACUGGGACUGAGACACGGGCCCAGACUCCUACGGGAGGCAGCAGUGGGGAAUCUUGCGCAAUGGGCGAAAGCCUGACGCAGCGACGCCGCGUGAGGGAUGACGGCCUCGG
rnacentral:rRNA from 1 species